GAUGAAGAACGCAGCUAAAUGCGAUAAGUAAUGUGAAUUGCAGAAUUCAGUGAAUCAUCGAAUCUUUGAACGCACAUUGCGCCCCCUGGUAUUCCGGGGGGCAUGCCUGUUCGAGCGUCAUUACAACCCUCAAGCUCUGCUUGGUAUUGGGCCCCGCCAGUUCUGGCGGGCCCUAAAGUCAGUGGCGGUGCCUUCCGGCUCCGAGCGUAGUAAUUCUUCUCGCUCUGGAGACCCGGUUGUGUGCUUGCCAACAACCCCCAAUUUUUUAAGGUUGACCUCGGAUCAGGUAGGGAUACCCGCUGAACUUAAGCAUAUCAAUAAGCGGAGGA
rnacentral:misc_RNA from 1 species